CUAUGAUGCAAAGGAGCUUGUUACUUUUGAAAUCAGAAGCAGAACUUGAUGUCACCCUCAUGGUGCUGGUUUUACAGGGGUUCACAGCUAAAAGUUUGUCUUAAGUCUCAGGAUAGAUUUUGGACUUGGACUUUUCAGCAAUAUUGGAACUCUUGGGUCAGAAUGCCUUUCUACACAAACCAACCUAAUUCAUUUUCUGGGUGUAUAAAGCCCUCCUUAGAGGCCCAACAAGAAGAAAUCUUUGAAGGAGGAAGAAGAGAGCAAAUCAAGAAAACAACUAUAAAAUGUUAUGCCAGCGGCGUCAAUGUUUAAAAUUUUGCUCAUCGACGUAUGAGUGAAUAAGCGAAAUGUAACAGAGUAACAUUUAGCCUUAACAGGAAGGAAGUUCUGCGAGAUGGGACAACUUGGAUGAACCUUGCAGACAGUAUGCUAAGUGAAAUAAUCCA